rnacentral:rRNA from 1 species
CAGCAGCCGCCGCGGUAACACGGAGGGUGCGAGCGUUAAUCGGAUUUACUGGGCGUAAAGCGUGCGUAGGCGGCUAAUUGAGUCGGAUGUGAAAUCCCCGAGCUUAACUUGGGAAUUGCAUUCGAUACUGGUUAGCUAGAGUGUGGGAGAGGAUGGUAGAAUUCCAGGUGUAGCGGUGAAAUGCGUAGAGAUCUGGAGGAAUACCGAUGGCGAAGGCAGCCAUCUGGCCUAACACUUACGCUGAGGUACGAAAGCAUGGGGAGCAAACAGGAUUAGAUACCCCAGUAGUCCCUGUCUCUUAUAC